AUUGAACGCUGGCGGCAGGUCUAACACAUGCAAGUCGAACGAGUGGCGGACGGGUGAGUAAUGUCUGGGAAACUGCCCGAUGGAGGGGGAUAACUACUGGAAACGGUAGCUAAUACCGCAUACCAUCGGAUGUGCCCAGAUGGGAUUAGCUAGUAGGUGGGGUAACGGCUCACCUAGGCGACGAUCCCUAGCUGGCCUGAGAGGAUGACCAGCCAAACUGGAACUGAGACACGGUCCAGACUCCUACGGGAGGCAGCAGUGGGGAAUAUUGCACAAUGGGCGAAAGCCUGACGCAGCCAUGCCGCGUGUAUGAAGAAGGCCUUCGGGUUGUAAAGUACUUUCAGCGGGGAGGCGUUACUCACAGAAGAAGCACCGGCUAACUCCGUGCCAGCCGCCGCGGUAAUAC
rnacentral:rRNA from 1 species